rnacentral:rRNA from 1 species
GACGAACGCUGGCGGCGUGCUUAACACAUGCAAGUCGAACGGAAAGGCCCUGCUUUUGUGGGGCGCUCGAGUGGCGAACGGGUGAGUAACACGUGAGUAACCUGCCCUUGACUUUGGGAUAACUUCAGGAAACUGGGGCUAAUACCGGAUAGGAGCUCCUGCUGCAUGGUGGGGGUUGGAAAGUUUCGGCGGUUGGGGAUGGACUCGCGGCUUAUCAGCUUGUUGGUGGGGUAGUGGCUUACCAAGGCUUUGACGGGUAGCCGGCCUGAGAGGGUGACCGGCCCCGUUGGGACGGAGAUACGGCCCUGGCGCCUACCGGGGGCAGCAGGGGCGAAUAGUGUACCAUGGGCUGUCGCGUGAUACAUCACCGCCGCGUGCGGGGUGGCGGUCUUGGGGGUGUAAACCGCUGUAGCCUGUGACGCAGCGUGGGUGACGGUAAUGGGUAAAGAAGAACCGGCUAACUACGUG